UGCUGUGGCAGUCAGCUGUGCUCAGGUGUACCUGACCCCACCUCACCUCAACUACACUAUUUGUCACCGGCUUUCUGUCCCCCGAGGGGUCCCAGAUUGUGAGAGGGCACAGGCCAGGCCUGGGGCAUCUCUGCUACCAUCACGUGGACACCUGCAAAUUUGCUCAAUCCGACAUAGCCACACACCUAAAAGUAUGAGGAAGGAAGCUCUUGUAUCAGGCUCCACUUUUCAUGGGAACCCAGGCUAAGAGGUUGAAAGUCAGCUCUAUGUGCAUUGAAGAGUCCCUUACUUUCCCACCAACACCAUACCUGGGAAAAGGAAUUCUUCCAGAGAGAGAUCAAAGAAUAAAAAAAUUAGAGAGCCUCAUAGAGGAAAUCAAUCAUUUGAAGAUCAGAGGAAGAGAGAGGUGCCACCUGCAGA